ensembl:snRNA U1 U1 spliceosomal RNA
AAAGUUACUCGGCAGGGGAAAUACGAAGAUCAUGAAGAAAGUUUUCCCAGGGUGAGACUCAUCCAUUGUACUCUGGCUCUGCUGCCUCUUCAUGUUCUCCAAAUGUAGGAAACUCAACUGCAUAAUUUGUGGCUUUCCAUAUUUCAUUGGGGAUGCGGG